AGCCUUUCAUUUUCCGAUCGCGCCCCCUAUAUUCGCUUCGUCGGCUCGACCGACUAUGGCGAUAAACAGGCGAUGAAAUAAGCCGUUCGGACCCGGGGGCGGUACCCGGCGCCUCCACCAAAAACCGCUGUCUCCCGGAGGGAGCGGCUUUUGCUGGGGGCGAAAUAGGAUCGACGAAGGUGUAAAGAUCGUACUUUUGCCCGGCAUUGUACCACCGUUAUCGGGCUAAACUUAUAGUUGCCAACGACAACUAUGCGGAAGCUCGUCUCGCUGCUUAAUGCGGCGCGAACGCUUCAAAUCAAGCCCUAGCGGUUCGCACCUCUAGGCGGGGUCCGGAGGCACCUGGCAACAGAAGCCUCCACU
rnacentral:tmRNA from 4 species